rnacentral:rRNA from 1 species
CUGAACACAUCCAAUCUCAUCUGAUUUGGAAGCUAAGCAG